rnacentral:rRNA from 1 species
CCUACGGGAGGCAGCAGUGGGGAAUAUUGCACAAUGGGGGAAACCCUGAUGCAGCGACGCCGCGUGAGUGAAGAAGUAUUUCGGUAUGUAAAGCUCUAUCAGCAGGGACGAAGAAAGACGGUACCUGACUAAGAAGCCCCGGCUAACUACGUGCCAGCAGCCGCGGUAAGACGUAGGGGGCAAGCGUUAUCCGGAUUUACUGGGUGUAAAGGGAGCGUAGACGGCAGUGCAAGUCUGGAGUGAAAGGCGGGGGCUCAACCCCCGGACUGCUCUGGAAACUGUACGGCUGGAGUGCAGGAGAGGUAAGUGGAAUUCCUAGUGUAGCGGUGAAAUGCGUAGAUAUUAGGAGGAACACCAGUGGCGAAGGCGGCUUACUGGACUGUAACUGACGUUGAGGCUCGAAAGCGUGGGGAGCAAACAGGAUUAGAUACCCUAGUAGUC